rfam:Synechococcus sp. SynAce01, complete genome.
GGAGGGGUGGUCGAGUGGUUGAUGGCUCUGGUCUUGAAAACCAGCGAGGCGAAAGCCUCCGCGGGUUCGAAUCCCGCCCCCUCCG